rnacentral:rRNA from 1 species
CAAGGUUUCCGUAGGUGAACNUGCGGAAGGAUCAUUAUUGAAUAAACCUGAUGUGAUUGUUAGCUGGCUUUUCGAAGCAUGUGCUCAUCCGUCAUCUUUAUCUCUCCACCUGUGCACAUUUUGUAGUCUUGGAUACCUCUCGAGGAAACUCGGAUUUUAGAAUCGCUGUGCUGUACAAGUCGGCUUUUCUUUCAUUUCCAAGACUAUGUUUUUAUAUACACCAAAGUAUGUUUAUAGAAUGUCAUCAAUGGGAACUUGUUUCCUAUAAAAUUAUACAACUUUCAGCAACGGAUCUCUUGGCUCUCGCAUCGAUGAAGAACGCAGCGAAAUGCGAUAAGUAAUGUGAAUUGCAGAAUUCAGUGAAUCAUCGAAUCUUUGAACGCACCUUGCGCUCCUUGGUAUUCCGAGGAGCAUGCCUGUUUGAGUGUCAUUAAAUUCUCAACCUUCCAACUUUUAUUAGCUUGGUUAGGCUUGGAUGUGGGGGUUGCGGGCUUCAUUAAUGAGGUCGGCUCUCCUUAAAUGCAUUAGCGGAACUUUUGUGGACCGUCUAUUGGUGUGAUAAUUAUCUACGCCGUGGAUGUGAAGCAGCUUUAUGAAGUUCUGCUUCUAACCGUCCAUUGACUUGGACAAUYUUGAUAAUUUGACCUCAAAUCAGGUAGGACUACCCGCUGAACUUAAGCAUAUCAAUAAGCGGAGGAAAAGAAACUAACAAGGAUUCCCCUAGUAACUGCGAGUGAAGCGGGAAAAGCUCAAAUUUAAAAUCUGGCAGU